GGGUCCGUAGCUCAGUUGGAUAGAGCAAGGGAUUUCUAAUCCCUAGGCCGGGGGUUCGACUCCCUCCGGACCCG
rnacentral:tRNA from 6 species